rnacentral:rRNA from 1 species
UUAAGCGACUAAGCGUACACGGUGGAUGCCCUGGCAGUCAGAGGCGAUGAAGGACGUGCUAAUCUGCGAUAAGCGUCGGUGAGGUGAUAUGAACCGUUAUAACCGGCGAUUUCCGAAUGGGGAAACCCAGUGUGUUUCGACACACUAUCAUUAACUGAAUCCAUAGGUUAAUGAGGCGAACCGGGGGAACUGAAACAUCUAAGUACCCCGAGGAAAAGAAAUCAACCGAGAUUCCCCCAGUAGCGGCGAGCGAACGGGGAGGAGCCCAGAGCCUGAAUCAGUGUGUGUGUUAGUGGAAGCGUCUGGAAAGGCGUGCGAUACAGGGUGACAGCCCCGUACACAAAAAUGCACAUAUUGUGAGCUCGAUGAGUAGGGCGGGACACGUGGUAUCCUGUCUGAAUAUGGGGGGACCAUCCUCCAAGGCUAAAUACUCCUGACUGACCGAUAGUGAACCAGUACCGUGAGGGAAAGGCGAAAAGAACCCCGGCGAGGGGAGUGAAAAAGAACCUGAAACCGUGUACGUACAAGCAGUGGGAGCCUCUUAAUGGGGUGACUGCGUACCUUUUGUAUAAUGGGUCAGCGACUUAUAUUCUGUAGCAAGGUUAACCGAAUAGGGGAGCCGAAGGGAAACCGAGUCUUAACUGGGCGUUAAGUUGCAGGGUAUAGACCCGAAACCCGGUGAUCUAGCCAUGGGCAGGUUGAAGGUUGGGUAACACUAACUGGAGGACCGAACCGACUAAUGUUGAAAAAUUAGCGGAUGACUUGUGGCUGGGGGUGAAAGGCCAAUCAAACCGGGAGAUAGCUGGUUCUCCCCGAAAGCUAUUUAGGUAGCGCCUCGUGAAUUCAUCUCCGGGGGUAGAGCACUGUUUCGGCAAGGGGGUCAUCCCGACUUACCAACCCGAUGCAAACUGCGAAUACCGGAGAAUGUUAUCACGGGAGACACACGGCGGGUGCUAACGUCCGUCGUGAAGAGGGAAACAACCCAGACCGCCAGCUAAGGUCCCAAAGUCAUGGUUAAGUGGGAAACGAUGUGGGAAGGCCCAGACAGCCAGGAUGUUGGCUUAGAAGCAGCCAUCAUUUAAAGAAAGCGUAAUAGCUCACUGGUCGAGUCGGCCUGCGCGGAAGAUGUAACGGGGCUAAACCAUGCACCGAAGCUGCGGCAGCGACACUAUGUGUUGUUGGGUAGGGGAGCGUUCUGUAAGCCUGUGAAGGUGGCCUGUGAGGGUUGCUGGAGGUAUCAGAAGUGCGAAUGCUGACAUAAGUAACGAUAAAGCGGGUGAAAAGCCCGCUCGCCGGAAGACCAAGGGUUCCUGUCCAACGUUAAUCGGGGCAGGGUGAGUCGACCCCUAAGGCGAGGCCGAAAGGCGUAGUCGAUGGGAAACAGGUUAAUAUUCCUGUACUUGGUGUUACUGCGAAGGGGGGACGGAGAAGGCUAUGUUGGCCGGGCGACGGUUGUCCCGGUUUAAGCGUGUAGGCUGGUUUUCCAGGCAAAUCCGGAAAACCAAGGCUGAGGCGUGAUGACGAGGCACUACGGUGCUGAAGCGACAAAUGCCCUGCUUCCAGGAAAAGCCUCUAAGCAUCAGGUAACAUCAAAUCGUACCCCAAACCGACACAGGUGGUCAGGUAGAGAAUACCAAGGCGCUUGAGAGAACUCGGGUGAAGGAACUAGGCAAAAUGGUGCCGUAACUUCGGGAGAAGGCACGCUGAUAUGUAGGUGAAGCGACUUGCUCGUGGAGCUGAAAUCAGUCGAAGAUACCAGCUGGCUGCAACUGUUUAUUAAAAACACAGCACUGUGCAAACACGAAAGUGGACGUAUACGGUGUGACGCCUGCCCGGUGCCGGAAGGUUAAUUGAUGGGGUUAGCGGCAACGCGAAGCUCUUGAUCGAAGCCCCGGUAAACGGCGGCCGUAACUAUAACGGUCCUAAGGUAGCGAAAUUCCUUGUCGGGUAAGUUCCGACCUGCACGAAUGGCGUAAUGAUGGCCAGGCUGUCUCCACCCGAGACUCAGUGAAAUUGAACUCGCUGUGAAGAUGCAGUGUACCCGCGGCAAGACGGAAAGACCCCGUGAACCUUUACUAUAGCUUGACACUGAACAUUGAGCCUUGAUGUGUAGGAUAGGUGGGAGGCUUUGAAGUGUGGACGCCAGUCUGCAUGGAGCCGACCUUGAAAUACCACCCUUUAAUGUUUGAUGUUCUAACGUUGGCCCGUAAUCCGGGUUGCGGACAGUGUCUGGUGGGUAGUUUGACUGGGGCGGUCUCCUCCUAAAGAGUAACGGAGGAGCACGAAGGUUGGCUAAUCCUGGUCGGACAUCAGGAGGUUAGUGCAAUGGCAUAAGCCAGCUUGACUGCGAGCGUGACGGCGCGAGCAGGUGCGAAAGCAGGUCAUAGUGAUCCGGUGGUUCUGAAUGGAAGGGCCAUCGCUCAACGGAUAAAAGGUACUCCGGGGAUAACAGGUGUACUCCGGGGAUAACAGGCUGAUACCGCCCAAGAGUUCAUAUCGACGGCGGUGUUUGGCACCUCGAUGUCGGCUCAUCACAUCCUGGGGCUGAAGUAGGUCCCAAGGGUAUGGCUGUUCGCCAUUUAAAGUGGUACGCGAGCUGGGUUUAGAACGUCGUGAGACAGUUCGGUCCCUAUCUGCCGUGGGCGCUGGAGAACUGAGGGGGGCUGCUCCUAGUACGAGAGGACCGGAGUGGACGCAUCACUGGGGCUCGGGUUGUCAUGCCAAUGGCACUGCCCGGUAGCUAAAUGCGGAAGAGAUAAGUGCUGAAAGCAUCUAAGCACGAAACUUGCCCCGAGAUGAGUUCUCCCUGACUCCUUGAGAGUCCUGAAGGAACGUUGAAGACGACGACGUUGAUAGGCCGGGUGUGUAAGCGCAGCGAUGCGUUGAGCUAACCGGUACUAAUGAACCGUGAGGCUUAACCUU